rnacentral:rRNA from 1 species
AACGCGUGGGGAACCUGCCCCAUAGUCUGGGAUACCACUUGGAAACAGGUGCUAAUACCGGAUAAGAAAGCGGAUCGCAUGAUCAGCUUUUAAAAGGCGGCGUAAGCUGUCGCUAUGGGAUGGCCCCGCGGUGCAUUAGCUAGUUGGUAAGGUAAAGGCUUACCAAGGCGAUGAUGCAUAGCCGAGUUGAGAGACUGAUCGGCCACAUUGGGACUGAGACACGGCCCAAACUCCUACGGGAGGCAGCAGGC